GUGCCAGCCGCCGCGGUAAUACGGAGGGUGCAAGCGUUGUCCGGAAUCACUGGGCGUAAAGGGCGCGUAGGCGGCUCAUAAAGGCUGUGGUGAAAGUUCGGGGCUCAACCUCGAAUCGGCCGUGGCGACUUGUGGGCUGGAGCACUGUAGAGGCGGGUGGAAUUCCGGGUGUAGCGGUGGAAUGCGUAGAGAUCCGGAAGAACACCAGUGGCGAAGGCGGCCCGCUGGGCAGUGGCUGACGCUGAAGCGCGACAGCGUGGGGAGCAAACAGGAUUAGAUACCCUGGUAGUCC
rnacentral:rRNA from 1 species